ACUGCUCUCAGAGAGCUUAAACUACCGCGAUAAUUUUGCUUCAGGGAGAGGAGGAAAGUAGAAUCAGCACGUUAAUGUGGGCCCUGCAAGGUGACCUGACCUGACAUAAAGAUUGUUGGCCUAAUUAUUAGAAGAGUUGGAUGCCCGGCCUGACUCUGCUCCUAGCCGGCUCUGUGAAUGUGUCUUUCACUCCCUGAACCUCAGCUUCUUCAUUUGUGCCAAGAGGGCAUUAAACUGGGUAUAAAGUGGUCUCUCCAGCCGCUGCAGCAGUUAUAAGUGUUCUCUGCUUUGUUUGCCAAAAGGACUGUGCAGGCUUCUACAUUCUGAUGCUUGGGAAUUGUGAGACGUGAACUCCAGAUCCUUAUGUUAAAGAGGAUUGGUGGAGGCCUCCUUGCCUCCAAGUGUGGUGUUACUUCCAGUUUCCUCAAGCACUUCCAGGUUAUCAACCCAGCUCUCCUCUAGUCUCCGGGGCUGUGGAAGAAGCUGCUGGGGAAAGAGGAGACUGGACACACACAGAGGAGAAGACCACAUGAAGAAAGGUCUGAAGAUACUGGUCUUGAUUAGAGUGAAGAGGGAA
rnacentral:lncRNA from 1 species